rnacentral:rRNA from 1 species
UCGUGUCGUGAGAUGUUGGGUUAAGUCCCGCAACGAGCGCAACCCUCAUCCCUAGUUGCCAUCAUUCAGUUGGGCACUCUAAGGAAACUGCCGGUGAUAAGCCGGAGGAAGGUGGGGAUGACGUCAAGUCCUCAUGGCCCUUACGCGCUGGGCUACACACGUGCUACAAUGGCGGUGACAGUGGGCAGCAACCGGGCGACCGGUAGCUAAUCUCCAAAAGCCGUCUCAGUUCGGAUUGUUCUCUGCAACUCGAGAGCAUGAAGGCGGAAUCGCUAGUAAUCGCGGAUCAGCAUGCCGCGGUGAAUACGUUCCCAGGCCUUGUACACACCGCCCGUCACACCAUGGGAGUUGGUUUCACCCGAAGGCAGUGCUCUAACCCGCAAGGGAGGAAGCUGACCACGGUGGGAUCAGCGACUGGGGUGAAGUCGUAACAAGGUAGCCGUAGGGGAACCUGCGGCUGGAUCACCUCCUUU